rnacentral:rRNA from 1 species
GACAGAGGUCCCGAGCGUUAGGCGGAAUCACUGGGCUUAAAGCGUGUGUAGGCGGACCCCUAAGUGUCUUGUGAAAUCCCACGGCUCACCCGUGGAACCGCUGGGCAUACUGGGGGUCUUGGGCCGUUCAGGGGCGACUGGAACAAGCGGUGGAGCGGUGAAAUGCGUAGAUAUCGCUUGGAACGCCGAAGGUGAAAACAGGUCGCUGGGGACGCGCCGACGCUGAGACACGAAAGCCAGGGGAGCAAACGGG